CAGAUCUUCCAGCUAAUCCAUGUCUUCCAGAAAAAUCUGUGUCUUCCACCAAAUCCAAGUCUUCCAGUAAAUCUAGUUCUUCCAGAAAAAUCUAGAUCUUCCAGUCAAUCAGUGUCUUCCAGAAAGAAAUCCAGGUCUUCCAGUCAAUCAGUGUCUUCCAGAAAGAAAUCCAGGUCUUCCAGUCAGUCAGUGUCUUCCAGAAAAAUCUACGUCUUCCACCAAAUCCAGGUCUUCCAGUCAAUCCACAUCUUCCGGAAAAAAUCCAGGUCUUCCAGCCAAUAUAUGUCUUCCUGAAGAUCCACGUCUUCCAGAAAAUCCAUGUCUUCCAGAAAAUCCAUGUCUUCCAGUAACCUCCCAGUCUUCCAGAAAAUCCACGUCUUCCCAACAAUCCAAGUCUUCCGGAUAAUUUGGGUCUUCCUGAAAAUCUACGUCUUCCAAAAAAGCCAUGUCUUCCAGAAAAUCCACAUCUUCCAAUGGCCUCCAGGUCUUCCAGACUAUCCAUGUCUUCCAGAAAAUCCUUGUCUUCCCUUAAAUCUAUAGCUUCCAAAAAAUCCGGGUCUUCCAGGAAAUCCGUGUCUUCCAGCAAGUCCACGUCUUCCAACAAAGCCAUGUCUUCCAGACUAUCCAUGUCUUCCAGAAAAUCCUUGUCUUCCCUCAAAUCCAUAGCUUCCGAAAAAUCCAGGUCUUCCAGGAAAUCCGUGUCUUCCAGCAAAUCCACGUCUUCCAACAAAGCCAUGUCUUCCAUCAAAUUAAUGUCUUCCAGCCUACUUGUGUCUUCCAACAAAGGUACGUCUUCCAACAAAGGUACGUCUUCCAACAAAGGUCUUCCAGCAUCUCCAGGGCUUCCAGCAUCUGCUCGUCUUCCAACAUCUCCACGUCUUCCAGCAUCUCUGUGUCUUCCAGCAUCUUCAUGUCUUCCAACAACUACCCAGUCUUCCAUCAACUGGCUCAAUAUCCAUGUCUUCCAACGUCUCCAGUGUGCUGAUCUUCUGACAUUCAGGUCUUCCAGUGUCUGCAAUAUCCAG
rnacentral:lncRNA from 1 species